GGUCCGUUGGUGAAGAGGUUAACACGUCACCCUCUCAAGGUGAUAUACAUGGGUUCGAGCCCCAUACGGAUCACCA
rnacentral:tRNA from 1 species